GGAAGGUGGUGCAGUAAGGACCAUUAAUUUUUUCCAGGAGUACGGACAGGAGUUUCAUCUGUGGAAAAUCCUCUUGCAGAGCUUCCACACGGGCAGAGGCAAAACACUCAUUUACCAAGUCUGAGGAAUGAGGUCUCUCUGGAGCUUUUUCCCGGUGUUUUAAAGCAUUACAGAAGCUCGUCCUGAGCCAAGAACGCAGUAACAUCAUAUUGGAAAUAAUGGGAAGAGGCUGGUUCCUAUCCAAGCAUAGAAGGAAAAAUACUAUGAAAAAAGUAAGAAAUAUUUUCUCCUGUUGGCGACUCAGUGCCUAC